GACAGAGGCCUCGAGCGUUAGGCGGAAUCACUGGGCUUAAAGCGUGUGUAGGCGGGCCCGUAAGUGUCUUGUGAAAUCCCACGGCUCAACCGUGGAACUGCUGGGCAUACUGCGGGUCUUGGGCCAACUAGGGGCAGCCGGAACAAGCGGUGGAGCGGUGAAAUGCGUAGAUAUCGCUUGGAACGCCGAAGGUGAAAACAGGCUGCUGGGGUUGCGCCGACGCUGAGACACGAAAGCCAGGGGAGCAAACGGGAUUAGAUACCCCGGUAGUCCUGGCCCUAAACGAUGUCCACUAGAUCGCGGAGCGGUUUGACCCGCUCGCGGUCGGAGCAAAAGUGUUAAGUGGACCGCCUGGGAAGUACGGUCGCAAGGCUAAA
rnacentral:rRNA from 1 species